UACGUAGGGUGCAAGCGUUGUCCGGAAUUAUUGGGCGUAAAGGGCUCGUAGGCGGUCCAUCGCGUCGGGAGUGAAAAGCUGGGGCUCAACCCCAGUCCUGCUUCCGAUACGGGUGGACUAGAGGUAUGCAGGGGAGAACGGAAUUCCUGGUGUAGCGGUGAAAUGCGCAGAUAUCAUUUGGAACGCCAAUGGGGAAAACAGGUAGCUGGGGCUGAGCUGACACUGAGACACGAAAGCCAGGGGAGCAAACGGG
rnacentral:rRNA from 1 species